rnacentral:rRNA from 1 species
UACGUAGGGUGCGAGCGUUAAUCGGAAUUACUGGGCGUAAAGCGUGCGCAGGCGGUUUUGUAAGUCUGUCGUGAAAUCCCCGGGCUUAACCUGGGAAUGGCGAUGGAGACUGCAAGGCUAGAGUUUGGCAGAGGGGGGUAGAAUUCCACGUGUAGCAGUGAAAUGCGUAGAGAUGUGGAGGAAUACCGAUGGCGAAGGCAGCCCCCUGGGCCAAUACUGACGCUCAUGCACGAAAGCGUGGGGAGCAAACAGG